GUUACCUGCAUGAUCCUUUUGAAGGACAUAUCCACACCAAUGAGCGAUACCGAGUUGGCACAGGCUGAUAUUGUACAGGAACAAGAUAUCUGUGAAAGAUGAGGCACAAGAAUCCUUUGUGAGCUCUGAUCAACGAUGCCAGGAAGUGGAACAUUUCAGGGGAACCUCAGACUUUCCUGUGAAGAUGAGAGUGAGAGUGUUGUUAUUCCACUGGAGGAGAGACAAGAGGCUCGGCCUUCUCAAGUCUGCCUGUCUCCAGAGAUCUGCCGGAGGACAGGGCCCACCAGACUACUUCUGGAACUCUUGCCUCAUCUGCCCGUCAGCGUGUCUCCAUCGUCAGUCACCCUCCCCACCCCCCGUACUCGGUGGCCUAUAAUAAAUAAGUCCAGGAGGACACAGGCUGCAUUUGGGCCCCGGUGAGCAUCACCUGGUGUCAUGUUUUAAGACUUUUUCAAGUAAUUCCAAGAGGCACUCAAUUUAUUUCCUAAGUGCAGUUGAUUUCCAGUUUGAAUAUUGACCUUUAGGUAGCCAUAAACAAAACUGAUCAAAUUUUCUAUUUGCAACAUAAACAGACAUAUUAAAUAUUAAGAAGAACAACUACUCACAUCAGUGCCAAAUUAAUGUCUGAGUGAUACUGUUUGUGCUUUAUGCUGAAAAACUUAAUGGUGCUAAGGAUAAACUAUACCUGUACAUCUGAGAUAGGCUGGUAUAUAGGAAAAUAUUUGCUGUACACUCCCUGUAGUUAAUUAACCCGGACAUCAUAUGGCAGAUACCAAAGAGAUUUCAGCAUUCAGACUUUGUUUCCAUUUACUAAACAAAACUCAAGCAAUGUUGUGAUUUCCUUGAUCCUUAAUUUGUUUCUAUGCAUCAAUUAAAUUCUAUGUAAUCAAAAUAAAGUACACAAUGGGCA